rnacentral:rRNA from 1 species
AAAGGCGUAGUCGAUGGGAAACAGGUUAAUAUUCCUGUACUUGGUGUUACUGCGAAGGGGGGACGGAGAAGGCUAUGUUAGCCGGGCGACGGUUGUCCCGGUUUAAGCAUGUAGGCUGAUUAUCCAGGCAAAUCCGGAUAAUCAAGGCGGAGGUGUGAUGACGAGGCACUACGGUGCUGAAGUAACAAAUGCCCUGCUUCCAGGAAAAGCCUCUAAGCAUCAGGUAACAUCAAAUCGUACCCCAAACCGACACAGGUGGUCAGGUAGAGAAUACCAAGGCGCUUGAGAGAACUCGGGUGAAGGAACUAGGCAAAAUGGUGCCGUAACUUCGGGAGAAGGCACGCUGGUGUGUAGGUGAAGUCCCUGCGGAUGGAGCUGAGACCAGUCGAAGAUACCAGCUGGCUGCAACUGUUUAUUAAAAACACAGCACUGUGCAAACACGAAAGUGGACGUAUACGGUGUGACGCCUGCCC